rnacentral:rRNA from 1 species
UACGGAGGGUGCAAACGUUGCUCGGAAUCGUUGGGCGUAAAGCGCACGUAGGCGGUCCAGCAAGUCGGGUGUGAAAGCCCUCGGCUUAACCGAGGAAGUGCAUUCGAAACUACUGGGCUUGAGUACUGAAGAGGAUCGCGGAAUUCCCGGUGUAGAGGUGAAAUUCGUAGAUAUCGGGAGGAACACCAGCGGCGAAGGCGGCGAUCUGGGCAGAUACUGACGCUGAGACGCGAAAGCGUGGGGAGCAAAC